GACGAACGCUGGCGGCGUGCUUAACACAUGCAAGUCGAGCGGUAAGGCCCUUUCGGGGGUACACGAGCGGCGAACGGGUGAGUAACACGUGGGUGACCUGCCCUCAGCUCUGGGAUAAGCCUGGGAAACCGGGUCUAAUACCGGAUAUGACUCCAUGACGCAUGUUGUGGGGUGGAAAGCCUUGUGCGGCUGAGGAUGGGCCCGCGGCCUAUCAGCUUGUUGGUGGGGUGAUGGCCUACCAAGGCGACGACGGGUAGCCGGCCUGAGGGGGCGACCGGCCACACUGGGACUGAGACACGGCCCAGACUCCUACGGGAGGCAGCAGUGGGAAUCUUGCGCAAUGGGCGAAAGCCUGACGCAGCGACGCCGCGUGAGGGAUGACGGCCU
rnacentral:rRNA from 1 species